rnacentral:rRNA from 1 species
AUUGAACGCUGGCGGCAUGCUUUACACAUGCAAGUCGAACGGUAACAGGCCGCAAGGUGCUGACGAGUGGCGAACGGGUGAGUAAUGCAUCGGAACGUGCCCAGUCGUGGGGGAUAACGCAGCGAAAGCUGCGCUAAUACCGCAUACGAUCUAUGGAUGAAAGCGGGGACCGUAAGGCCUCGCGCGAUUGGAGCGGCCGAUGUCAGAUUAGGUAGUUGGUGGGGUAAAGGCUCACCAAGCCAACGAUCUGUAGCUGGUCUGAGAGGACGACCAGCCACAGUGGGACUGAGACACGGCCCAGACUCCUACGGGAGGCAGCAGUGGGGAAUUUUGGACAAUGGGCGCAAGCCUGAUCCAGCAAUGCCGCGUGCAGGAAGAAGGCCUUCGGGUUGUAAAGCUCUUUCGGCAGGAACGAAACGGCGAGCUCUAACAUAGCUUGCUAAUGACGGUACCUGAAGAAGAAGCACCGGCUAACUACGUGCCAGCCGCCGCAGUAAAAC